rnacentral:lncRNA from 1 species
UCUAGAUGUUUCAUUAAAGAUUUCUAAAAGAUUUCUAGGCCAUUAACUAAUCUUCUUCAAAAAGAUGUUCCUUUUUUUUAUGAUGAUGAUUGUGAUGCCGGAGAGGGAGAGAUCUCUCCGCCCCUUUUGGUGGGAGAGAGAGAAAGAGAGAGAGAGAGAGAGAGAGAGAGAAAUCUAAUCACUAUGGACAUAUAGGUCUAUCGUGAACUACUCACACAUCAUCAGAGGUGCAACAAGGUUGAUGUAGAAGCCCUUCGUGAUUGAUUCCUCCUUUGGUAG